rnacentral:rRNA from 1 species
GGAAUUUUGCGCAAUGGGCGAAAGCCUGACGCAGCAACGCCGCGUGACCGAUGAAGCCCUUCGGGGUGUAAAGGUCUGUCAGUGGGGACGAAAUCUGACGGUACCCACAGAGGAAGCAUCGGCUAACUCCGUGCCAGCAGCCGCGGUAAUACGGGGGAUGCAAGCGUUGUCCGGAAUCAUUGGGCGUAAAGAGUUCGUAGGUGGUUUGUUAAGUUAGGUGUUAAAUGCAGAGGCUCAACUUCUGUUCGGCACUUGAUACUGGCAGACUUGAAUGCGGCAGAGGUAAAGGGAAUUCCUGGUGUAGCGGUGAAAUGCGUAGAUAUCAGGAGGAACAUCGGAGGCGAAAGCGCUUUACUGGACCGUAAUUGACACUGAGGAACGAAAGCCAGGGUAGCAAAUG